AGAGUUUGAUCUGGCUCAGGAUAAACGCUGGCGGCGUGCCUAACACAUGCAAGUCGAACGCCCUUAGCAAUAAGGGAGUGGCGGACGGGUGAGUAACACGUGGGUCAUCUACCAUCGGGUGAGGAAUACCGGCGAGAAAUCGCCGACAAUACCGCAUACGCUCUUUCGCAAGAGCAAAGCUCGCAAGGGCGCCUGAUGAU
rnacentral:rRNA from 1 species